rnacentral:rRNA from 1 species
UACGUAGGGGGCAAGCGUUGUCCGGAUUUAUUGGGCGUAAAGAGCGUGUAGGCGGUUCGGUAGGUCCGUUGUGAAAACUCGAGGCUCAACCUCGAGACGCCGAUGGAAACCCUCGAACUAGAGUCCGGAAGAGGAGAGUGGAAUUCCUGGUGUAGCGGUGAAAUGACGCAGAUAUCAGGAAGAACACCCGUGGCUAAGGCGGCUCUCUAGUACGGUACUGACGCUGAGACGCGAAAGCGUGGGGAGCGAACAGG